GGUUAAGCGACUAAGCGUACACGGUGGAUGCCCUGGCAGUCAGAGGCGAUGAAGGACGUGCUAAUCUGCGAUAAGCGUCGGUAAGGUGAUAUGAACCGUUAUAACCGGCGAUUUCCGAAUGGGGAAACCCAGUGUGUUUCGACACACUAUCAUUAACUGAAUCCAUAGGUUAAUGAGGCGAACCGGGGGAACUGAAACAUCUAAGUACCCCGAGGAAAAGAAAUCAACCGAGAUUCCCCCAGUAGCGGCGAGCGAACGGGGAGGAGCCCAGAGCCUGAAUCAGUGUGUGUGUUAGUGGAAGCGUCUGGAAAGGCGCGCGAUACAGGGUGACAGCCCCGUACACAAAAAUGCACAUACUGUGAGCUCGAUGAGUAGGGCGGGACACGUGGUAUCCUGUCUGAAUAUGGGGGGACCAUCCUCCAAGGCUAAAUACUCCUGACUGACCGAUAGUGAACCAGUACCGUGAGGGAAAGGCGAAAAGAACCCCGGCGAGGGGAGUGAAAAAGAACCUGAAACCGUGUACGUACAAGCAGUGGGAGCCUCUUUUAUGGGGUGACUGCGUACCUUUUGUAUAAUGGGUCAGCGACUUAUAUUCUGUAGCAAGGUUAACCGAAUAGGGGAGCCGAAGGGAAACCGAGUCUUAACUGGGCGUUAAGUUGCAGGGUAUAGACCCGAAACCCGGUGAUCUAGCCAUGGGCAGGUUGAAGGUUGGGUAACACUAACUGGAGGACCGAACCGACUAAUGUUGAAAAAUUAGCGGAUGACUUGUGGCUGGGGGUGAAAGGCCAAUCAAACCGGGAGAUAGCUGGUUCUCCCCGAAAGCU
rnacentral:rRNA from 1 species